rnacentral:rRNA from 1 species
UACGAAGGGGGGCUAGCGUUGCUCGGAAUGACUGGGCGUAAAGGGCGCGUAGGCGGCGAUCACAGUCAGAUGUGAAAUUCCUGGGCUUAACCUGGGGGCUGCAUUUGAUACGUGUGGGCUUGAGUGCGGAAGAGGGUCGUGGAAUUCCCAGUGUAGAGGUGAAAUGCGUAGAUAUUGGGGAGGAACACCAGUGGCGAAGGCGGCUCACUGGACCGGUACUGACGCUGAGGCGCGAAAGCGUGGGGAGCAAACAGGG